rnacentral:rRNA from 1 species
GACGAACGCUGGCGGCGUGCUUAACACAUGCAAGUCGAGCGGUAAGGCCCUUUCGGGGGUACACGAGCGGCGAACGGGUGAGUAACACGUGGGUGACCUGCCCUCAGCUCUGGGAUAAGCCUGGGAAACCGGGUCUAAUACCGGAUAUGACUCCAUGACGCAUGUUGUGGGGUGGAAAGCCUUGUGCGGCUGAGGAUGGGCCCGCGGCCUAUCAGCUUGUUGGUGGGGUGAUGGCCUACCAAGGCGACGACGGGUAGCCGGCCUGAGAGGGCGACCGGCCACACUGGGACUGAGACACGGCCCAGACUCCUACGGGAGGCAGCAGUGGGGAAUCUUGCGCAAUGGGCGAAAGCCCGACGCAGCGACGCCGCGUGAGGGAUGACGGCCUCGGUGUAACGUACUU